UUUUCGUGACUUGGUUUUAGGCCUGGAGCCCAACAACCACUCACUGCUUAGGUAGCAUGUUAUCCGUUUCGUUUAUUUUAUUUAAAAAUAAACUUAGCUAGAAAUGUGAAUCAUCUAGAAUUCAAACAUGAAAUAUCGGAUACCAACCAUCAAGCUCUUUACCACUUGCGCUAGGGACGGUCGGUCUUGGUAUAUUUUUUUUACUGUUUUAAAACAGGUGGUUUGUUCAACCAGUGAUUCAACUAUAAUACCAGCAUAAUAUCAUAAAUAUUGAAUUAUUAUUCUUUCAUACUAUAUAUAAUAAUAUAUAUUAAAUAUAAUAAUACUUAUUUUUUGUUAUUUAUUAAUAUAUCUAUAA
rnacentral:lncRNA from 1 species